rnacentral:rRNA from 1 species
GAUGAACGCUGGCGGCGUGCCUAAUACAUGCAAGUCGAGCGAACAGACGAGGAGCUUGCUCCUCUGACGUUAGCGGCGGACGGGUGAGUAACACGUGGAUAACCUACCUAUAAGACUGGGAUAACUUCGGGAAACCGGAGCUAAUACCGGAUAAUAUAUUGAACCGCAUGGUUCAAUAGUGAAAGACGGUUUUGCUGUCACUUAUAGAUGGUUCCGCGCCGCAUUACCUAGUUGGUAAGGUAACGGCUUACCAAGGCAACGAUGCGUAGCCGACCUGAGAGGGUGAUCGGCCACACUGGAACUGAGACACGGUCCAGACUCCUACGGGAGGCAGCAGUAGGGAAUCUUCCGCAAUGGGCGAAAGCCUGACGGAGCAACGCCGCGUGAGUGAUGAAGGUCUUCGGAUCGUAAAACUCUGUUAUUAGGGAAGAACAAAUGUGUAAGUAACUAUGCACGUCUUGACGGUACCUAAUCAGAAAGCCACGGCUAACUACGUG